UACGUAGGUGGCAAGCGUUAUCCGGAAUUAUUGGGCGUAAAGCGCGCGUAGGCGGUUUUUUAAGUCUGAUGUGAAAGCCCGCGGCUCAACCGUGGAGGGGCAUUGGAAACUGGAAAACUUGAGUGCGGAAGAGGAAAGUGGAAUUCCAUGUGUAGCGGUGAAAUGCGUAGAGAUAAGGAGGAACACCAGUGGCGAAGGCGACUUUCUGGUCCGUAACUGACGCUGAGGUGCGAAAGCGAGGGGAGCAAACGGG
rnacentral:rRNA from 1 species